ACGACCGAAACGCCGAGUCCUGCACGCCAUCUGGCAGCGGGAGCGGGGGAACCACGUUUUCGGGGCUAAUCCACCUCUUGGUGGAGGCGCGAGCUCUUUCAGCGCCAGCCCGACAGCUAACCCCGUAGGCCGACGAAGGAGAUAUC
rnacentral:sRNA from 2 species